UAACGGAGCCCCCCUGGUGACAUGGAUGAAAAAAUAAUAAUGCGUGGCCACGCGUUAUUAUCCCGUGACGCAUUUUAUUUUUUUUUCAUCCAUGUCACCAGGGGGGCUCCGUAA